UACGUAGGGAGCAAGCGUUGUCCGGAAUCAUUGGGCGUAAAGCGCGCGUAGGCGGCCCGAUAAGUCCGCUGUGAAAGUCAACGGCUCAACUGUUGGAUGCCGGUGGAUACUGUCGGGCUAGAGUACGGAAGAGGCAAGUGGAAUUCCUGGUGUAGCGGUGAAAUGCGUAGAUAUCUGGAGGAACACCGGUGGCGAAGGCGGCAUCCUGGACCAUUACUGACGCUGAGGAGCGAAAGCCAGGGGAGCAAACGGG
rnacentral:rRNA from 1 species